rnacentral:rRNA from 1 species
CUUCGGGGUUAGUGGCGGACUGGUGAGUAACGCGUGCGCGAAUCAUGCCCUCAGGCAGGGGGAUAACGGCUGGAAACGGCCGCCUAAUACCCCUAUAUGCCGAGAGGUGAAAUGAAUUUCCCCUGAGGAUGAGCCCUGCGUCUGAUUAGCUAGUUGGUGGGGUAAGAGCCUACCAAGGCGACGAUCAGUAGCUGGUCUGAGAGGAUGAUCAGCCACACUGGGACUGAUACACGGCCCGGACUCCUACGGGAGGCAGCAGUGGGGAAUUUUCCGCAAUGGGCGAAAGC